GACGAACGCUGGCGGCGUGCCUAAUACAUGCAAGUGGAACGCGUACCGUGGACUUGAGGCUUCGGCCAAUCCGACACAUUUGUACGAGUCGCGAACGGGUGAGUAACGCGUAGGAAACCUGCCGUUUAGAGGGGGACAACAGUUAGAAAUGACUGCUAAUACCGCAUAACAGUUGAAGAGACAUCUCUUUAACUUAAAAGUCGCAAUUGCGGCACUAAACGAUGGUCCUGCGUUGGAUUAGCUAGUUGGUGAGGUAAAGGCUCACCAAGGCGAUGAUCCAUAGCCGACCUGAGAGGGUGAUCGGCCACAUUGGGACUGAGACACGGCCCAAACUCCUACGGGAGGCAGCAGUAGGGAAUCUUCGGCAAUGGGGGCAACCCUGACCGAGCAACGCCGCGUGAGUGAAGAAGGUUUUCGGAUCGUAAAACUCUGUUGUAUCUAAAGAACGUGUGAGAGAGUGGAAAGUUCUCACAGUGACGGUAAGAUACCAGAAAGGGACGGCUAACUACGUGCCAGCAGCCGCGGUAAUACGUAGGCCCCGAGCGUUGUCCGGAUUUAUUGGGCGUAAAGCGAGCGCAGGCGGUUUCUUAAGUCUGAUGUAAAAGGCAGUGGCUUAACCAUUGUACGCAUUGGAAACUGGGAGACUUGAGUGCAGUAGAGGAGAGUGGAAUUCCAUGUGUAGCGGUGAAAUGCGUAGAUAUAUGGAGGAACACCGGAGGCGAAAGCGGCUCUCUGGGCUGUAGCUGACGCUGAGGCUCGAAAGCGUGG
rnacentral:rRNA from 1 species